rnacentral:rRNA from 1 species
UACGUAGGGACCAAGCGUUGUUCGGAUUUACUGGGCGUAAAGGGCGCGUAGGCGGCGUGGUAAGUCAGCUGUGAAAUCUCCGAGCUUAACUCGGAACGGUCAGCUGAUACUGCUGUGCUAGAGUGCAGAAAGGGCAAUCGGAAUUCUUGGUGUAGCGGUGAAAUGCGUAGAUAUCAAGAGGAACACCUGAGGCGAAGGCGGGUUGCUAGGCUGACACUGACGCUGAGGCGCGAAAGCUAGGGUAGCAAACGGG